rnacentral:lncRNA from 1 species
CUGAAAAUAGCUCUGAGCUGGACACUUUUUUUUUUUGAUUUAGAGUCUCACUCUGUCACCCAGGUUGGAGUGCAGUGGCGCAGUCUCGGCUCACUGCAACCUUUGCCUCCUGGGUUCAAGUGAUUCUCCUGCCUUGGCCUCCUGAGUAGCUGGGAUUACAGGCACCCACCACCACACCUGUGAGCUGGACACUCUUAACUGCUACUGUAACUGCCGAGAGUUACUAUGAAGUUAGCAAAACAUUGUUACAUCAGAG